rnacentral:rRNA from 1 species
AUGGCAGAAUGUUUCCCCGGAGACGAGGCGGCGGCCAACGGCUUCGGCCGCCGUUCGCUCCGCGAACAGGAGUCCUGGCUCCUGUUCCAGGCGAACAUCCCGGCGCCGCCGGACAUGCGCGCCGGGCCAUCGGGGUGGAGACUCAGCGCCGGGGGAGUGCCCAUUCCCCCGUUGCCCGACGCCGUGGCGAAGCCGAAGUACUUCGCCGAGGAGGUUGAGAUCGUGCGCGCGUCCCUCACCGACGCCCAACUCUCCCUCCCCCAGUACGCCACCGACAACCACGCGGCCUGGGCGGCGUAUUUCGAGCGCCGCCAGCAGCAGCGAUUAGCGUCCACCAACAGUGCGCCGAUGGUCGGCGGGCGGCAGAACAACGAGGGGCGCCGCCUCUGGUGGGGCGUCCCCGGCCGCACACUCAAGGGCGUGCUCACAUACCUCGACGGCGGCAACGACCCGCCGUUGGCGUACCCCCUGGCGCAGCACCGACGCGUCGAGCCAUGGGCGCCAAGGAGGUUCGGGUCCUCCUCCUCCUCUUCCUCCUCCCGAUCCUCAUCGCACUCCUCCGGCACUCCGGCCCUGCUGGGCGUCAAGGCCGAGCCCGCGGCGGAGUCGCCGCCCGGCCGGCGCACUCGCAGCGCCGGCAUCGUCAUCAAUGAGGGCGGCCGGCGCGCCUCCUUCUCGUCGGCUCCUCCGCGCUUCGUCAAGCCAAAGACGGAGUCGGGGCUGGCGCCGGUGAAGACGGAGCCGGGGCUGGUGCCGGUGAAGGCGGAGUUCGACGACGACGACGCGGCCCUAGAAUGGGCGCGCCAGGACUCCAUUGCGAUGGAGAAGGCGCGCCGGGAGAAGGCGAAGGAGCGCCAGCGCGCCGCCCUGCGCCGCUUCGAGGAGCGCCUACGCGGCCGCGAUGAAGACGGGGUCGUCGUCCUAUGCGACAGUGACGACGACGACGGCGCGCCGCUGCCAGUCCACCAUGGCGACGCCGGGUCCAGCCGGGGCGCCCGCGUCAAGGAGGAGAAGGCCGACGACGACGAUGGCGGCGACGACUUCAGCCCCUUUCUUUUUUAG